GUCGUAGUGGUUUGUCAAUGCACUAAGUUCCCGUUUCCUGCUCGCCUGCUUGCUUGCCUGCGUAUUGUCCGCCGUCUACGUCCAAGUAGAAGGCCCGGUACGCUAUUUUAUUCAAUUCAAUUUAGGCAUUUGUAUGUGACUUUUGUGUGGCCUUAUUCGUUGGAUGUCGCACAGCUGAUAAUUGAGAUUUUAUAAAUUUAGCUGCAAUUCAAUAUUCUGCAUUUGCACGCGAGUGUAUAAGUGUGUAUGUUUGCUGUUGCCUUCGUCACCUUCUUCGACUUCUUCGAGUACCCAGUUGGCCUUUUUUUGUUUGUGGUCGCAGUUUUUUAUUUGUUUUUUUUUGUGUUCAGUUCGACAAAGCACUCGCACAAAGCAAUUGUGUACCGUUGCCGCUGCUUUUAUGCAUUUGAAUCAUACCCAUUAUUUCACAAAGCCGUCAGUGCGCCAAGUCAAGACCGUUUCUGACUUUGACACCGAACACGACGACAGCAACUGUGCGAAGAUUCGCAGUCGCAAUAAUUCAACAGACUCGCGGUAGAGCCGCAGCGAAGAGAGUGUAUGCGUCGUAAAAAAAGCGCUCCAAAGCGCUUUCGCCACCGCUCAGUGACAGCUAAGCAAUUGAUAAAAGCCUUGAAAUAAUCUUUGACAAAUAUCAAAAUGUUGUAUUUUUUUGUUGUUUCAGUAAAUUUCUUUUGUACAGCUGGCUCGAUGUAGAGUUGUACAGAGAGCAUUAUACUGCAGAGCUGCAGCUGUACAGUUGGUAGCAUGCGUGCAUCAAUACAUGCAUAUAUAUAUAUAAAUGCAUUGAGUGAUGGCGACGUCAGAGAGUGUGAACAUUUCGGAAAGAUAGAGAGCUGAACUCUACAACCGCUGCUGGUACUUCCCCUACAAGUAAAAAUUUCGUUAUUUAAUGAAAAGCGAUUUGGGAGUAUUGAAAAAAUUAAUUAAUUAUAACAUGGAUUUUGAUCGAGAUUGAUAUAACAAUACAUUCAGAGCUAGAUUAUUAAACGCUGCACCUAUUGUACUUAUUUAAGAACAAAUUAUUACAAUAUAAUUCCCAUAAAUGGGUAUUAAAUUGAAAUGUGCGCCUAAAAGAUGCUAUCUGCUAUAUUAAGAAAUAAUUGAAUAAGUUUUUGUUGAAUUUAAUAUCCACAAGCUUAGUAUAUUAAUAAAAAAAAGAGUUUGUUAAAGAAGAAAUAAUUUUUACUUAAUUUUGAAAAAGUUACAUAUGCAUUUAGUACAUAAUCAAUGUGCAAUUUUAUUUAUUACAAAAUGUAAUGUAAUAUUAGCAAACCUCCAAAAAAGCACUAUAGGACUGAGAUUCAAAUUAAAAUGUCAGACAGCAUUCUUCUUUAAUAUUUCGGCUCGGAAAAGAUUUUGAAUAUAUAUACAUAUGUAUAUGAAGCUUAUACCAUAAUUUUCAAGGUCUGUGUAUUAUUAUAUUUACCCAUUUAUUUUAAUAGUAUUUAGUCUACCUUAAUUCAGUAUCCUUGAUAUAUAAAAUGUAAAUACAUACAUACAUACUAACCUGGAACCAUAUUUUCAAGCAGCAUCCAUUAACGAUGUACAUGAGAGCGGCAUAAUUGCUUCUAUUCACACAACAGACGAGUCUAAAUAACCGGAACGGACCCGAUUUUUGUCCAGCCAAGGACUUUCAACUCGGCACCAUUCCUCCAAAUUACUGUCGGAAUGUUUUCUGCCUCAACAUCAAUUCAUUUAGCUUAAAAAGAUGCACCCACACUUGGUUACUACAAGUUAUAUUUUAAAGAAUUUACUUAAGAAACUUUUCGAUAUGAUUAUUUACACAUUAUUAUACCCUGUACAGGGUAUAUUAAAUUUGCCACAUAUUUUGUAAUACCCAGAUGGAAUCGUCGGCGAACCUACCAAGUAUAUGUACAUAUAUAUUAAUGAUCAGCAUAACGAGCUGAUUCGAUUUAGCCAUAUCCGCCUGUCUGUCCAUCCUAUCCCAACGGCCAGGGGGUAGAAUUUGCCCGCGGUAAGGUAUGCCUUUCGUAAAAGGCGACUAAAAUGCACUGUCCGUUUUUAAGUUUUGCCACGAAAUAUCAGCAUAGCUAUGUCAGAAAUAGUGCUAUAAUACAUACUCAGCUUGAACUCGGCCAAGGUGGAAUAGGUGUCCAUUCCACACUACCAACUGUUAUCCAAAUAAUGAUUGCGCUAUUUGGGUCGCUGAUCAACGCAUUGUUUGGAACCGUUGUGCGUUUGAGCACCGUGAGGUUAGGUCGUCGCCGACAGGUAAUGACGUAAAUCACACUGAAAGUUGUCUGUCCUAACUAGUCCCUCAGUUUUAGAGAUAUCGAUUUGAAAUUUUGCUCAGAUCCAUUUCUCCCCGGAACGGCCGAUAUCGACACUUUAGCAUAUAGCUGCCACACAAAAUGAUCGAUCAAAUACAUGACCUUUUAGGGGAAACUUUUUUUAUUUGACGAGUUAUCUUCACUAAAUUUGGUUUGAAAUAAUGUUUAAGACAACGGUACAAUAUUUGAAGAAACUGUAACCAACUUACUGCUAAGGAUUUCUGAAAAUACAAGUCCAAAAUUUUUUUAAUUAAUAAAAAAUAAAUAAAAAAAUGUUUAGUGUUAAAUUUAAGAAGUUUUUAUGGAAGUUUUACAGAAAUUGUUGUAUUACUAAGAUGCAUUAGAAAAAUAAUGGCGACUUGUUAAGGCAGUUACUCUGAGUUGUAUAGAAACAACUGUGUUCUAUCCAAUUCUACUUCGUAUAGCUUGCUUCAGUUUUUCUGUUAUGAAAAACUAUUUAUUUUAUAUGCUAUAACACCAGUACUGAAACUAUCGUUUUAUUUACAUAAAAAAAAAUUAAGUGUUUCUUUAUUCAAUUAUAUUGCAAAAAACAAAUGUACUAACCCUAAAGUAAGAUUUUAAAUAGAUAUGUGCAAGAAAUUAAAACAUUUUUGUAAUAACUUGGGCUUUUUCAUUGUUGUUCAUUUAUAUACAAACUUAAGUAUACUUUUUUUAAUUGAAAAUAUACAUAUCAAUAUUCGGUCAGGUAAAUGUAUAGUUAAUACUUUUCACACAUAGAAUCUUUUACGUUACGUUAUGUACGGCGUGAUUGUAAGUUAAUAUCGUUUAAAAUUUUCACGGCAUUUCUAAUUAAAUUUUAUUCAGAGUAGUUGAAAGAGUGAUCUGCGCAAUGUUGUCUGUAAAAUUGUAAUUUUCCUAUUUAAUUAUUUUGUUCUAUGCUUAGAAUAUGUUAUAUACUUUACAUAUGAUAGUUAAUAUAUACAAAAUAUUGACGCCCUUGCGUAGCUUAUAUACUAAUAUUUGUUGAUUUAAUUAAAUAUUAUAAAAAUGUAAUAGUUUAAAUGACUCCGUAAAAUGUAAUUUUUUUCCGAGUCACAUAUUGAGUUUACUCAGCAAAGUUUUCGCACGUGUGCGCUCGUUAUGAAUUGCCUAUUCAUAUAGUUAGUCUAACUGUAAUACACGAAUUCCACAUUAUUUAUUCACAUAAACGCUAUGGUGAACUCG